UUAAAACCACUCCGACCAGCAAGACCUCUCCUUCCGAAGCCUAUUCCAACACCACCACCCCCACAUACAUUCCCAAUUCCCACAGUGCAACCACUCCCCCAACUGCCACGACCUAUCCAGUUAUGCUCUCAACCAGAGACAUCAACACCAUUAUACAAUAGUCCCACCAAUAUUGAGGUUCCCAAAAGCACACAGUACUACCAAAACAAACGAAAACGAGAACACGAGACACAACCAAACAAGAACCGUUGCGAAAGAAAAAAAACUUUCAAUACGUGUGGCCACUGCAAACUGCCCAAAACAAAAGAUUUUGGCCACAGUCGGCAUAUAGGCCAAAAUGGUGUAGACACGUUUUGUCCUUCUGUCGAAGGAAAGCAAUAUGUAAAUAAAGAUGCGUGGUUGGCUGACAGAAAAGUGGCCAACCCGCCCAAGAAUAAACAAAAUAAAGAAUAAGCAAAACUUGCCUGCCUCAUCGGUCAGUGUUGCAGCAAGAAACAGUAUUCUGUGUUGUGUAUUUUACUAUUUUUGUACGAAUAUGUCCAAUUGUCCAUGUUUUCAAAACUGGCAUGCAGGAAACCAUUGGCC